GAUGAAGAACGUAGCGAAAUGCGAUACUUGGUGUGAAUUGCAGAAUCCCGUGAACCAUCGAGUCUUUGAACGCAAGUUGCGCCCGAAGCCAUUAGGCCGAGGGCACGCCUGCCUGGGCGUCACACGUCGUUGCCCCCCCCAUCUACUCCUUCGGGAUUGCGGGGGGCGGAUGAUGGCCUCCCGUGCGCCUCGCCGCGCGGUUGGCAUAAAUGCCAAGUCCUCGGCGAUGCACGCCACGACAAUCGGUGGUUGCGAAACCUCGGUUGCCCGUCGUGUGCGGUCGUCGCGCAUCGAGGGCUCGACAAAAUUGCCGGGUUCCGGCUCGGCUUUCAACGCGACCCCAGGUCAGGCGGGGUUACCCGCUGAAUUUAAGCAUAUCAAUAAGCGGAGGA
rnacentral:misc_RNA from 1 species